rnacentral:rRNA from 1 species
CCCUUAGAUGUUCUGGGCCGCACGCGCGCUACACUGAUGAAUGCAACGAGCUCUACCCUUGACCGAAAGGCCCGGGUAAACUUGUGAAACUUCAUCGUGAUGGGGAUAGAUUAUUGCAAUUAUUAAUCUUCAACGAGGAAUUCCUAGUAAGCGCGAGUCAUCAGCUCGCGUUGAUUACGUCCCUGCCCUUUGUACACACCGCCCGUCGCUCCUACCGAUUGAAUGGUCCGGUGAAAUCUUCGGAUUGCUGACCAAGAUCCAGCAAUGGAGCUUGGUUGCGAGAAGUUGAUUAAACCUUAUUAUUUAAAGGAAGGAGAAGUCGUAACA